GGGUGCGAUCAUACCAGUACUAAUGCACCGGUUCCCAUAAGAAGACUGCAGUUAAGCGUGCUUGGGCGAGAGUAGUACUAGGAUGGGUGACCUCUUGGGAAGUCCUCGUGGUGCACCCU